rnacentral:rRNA from 1 species
AUAAACGCUAGCGGCAGGCCUAACACAUGCAAGUCGAGGGGCAGCGGAAGAAGUAGCUUGCUACUUCUGCCGGCGACCGGCGCACGGGUGCGUAACGCGUAUGCAACCUACCUUUAACAGGGGGAUAAUCCGAAGAAAUUUGGUCUAAUACCCCAUAAUAUUUCAGAAGGCAUCUUUUGAGGUUGAAAACUCCGGUGGUUAAAGAUGGGCAUGCGUUGUAUUAGCUAGAUGGUGAGGUAACGGCUCACCAUUGCGAUGAUACAUAGGGGGACUGAGAGGUUUUCCCCCCACACUGGUACUGAGACACGGACCAGACUCCUACGGGAGGCAGCAGUGAGGAAUAUUGGUCAAUGGACGCAAGUCUGAACCAGCCAUGCCGCGUGCAGGAUGAAGGUGCUAUGCAUUGUAAACUGCUUUUGUACGAGGGUAAAUUCAGAUACGUGUAUCUGUUUGAAAGUAUCGUACGAAUAAGGAUCGGCUAACUCCGUGCCAGCAGCCGCGGUAAUACGGAGGAUCCGAGCGUUAUCCGGAUUUAUUGGGUUUAAAGGGUGCGUAGGCGGUUUGAUAAGUUAGAGGUGAAAGCUCGAUGCUCAACAUCGAAAUUGCCUCUGAUACUGUCAGACUAGAGUGUAGUUGCGGAAGGCGGAAUGUGUGGUGUAGCGGUGAAAUGCUUAGAUAUCACACAGAACACCGAUUGCGAAGGCAGCUUUCCAAGCUAUUACUGACGCUGAGGCACGAAAGCGUGGGUAGCGAACAGGAUUAGAUACCCUGGUAGUCCACGCCGUAAACGAUGAUAACUCGUUGCCGGCGAUAUAGUGUCGGUGACUAAGCGAAAGCGAUAAGUUAUCCACCUGGGGAGUACGUUCGCAAGAAUGAAACUCAAAGGAAUUGACGGGGGCCCGCACAAGCGGAGGAACAUGUGGUUUAAUUCGAUGAUACGCGAGGAACCUUACCCGGGUUUGAACGCAUUCGGACCGAGGUGGAAACACCUUUUCUAGCAAUAGCCGUUUGCGAGGUGCUGCAUGGUUGUCGUCAGCUCGUGCCGUGAGGUGUCGGGUUAAGUCCCAUAACGAGCGCAACCCCUACUGUUAGUUGCCAGCAUGUCAAGAUGGGCACUCUAGCAGGACUGCCGGUGUAAGCCGAGAGGAAGGUGGGGAUGACGUCAAAUCAGCACGGCCCUUACGUCCGGGGCGACACACGUGUUACAAUGGUCGGUACAGAGGGUAGCUACCUGGUGACAGGAUGCCAAUCUCGAAAGCCGAUCUCAGUUCGGAUUGGAGGCUGAAACUCGCCUCCAUGAAGUUGGAUUCGCUAGUAAUCGCGCAUCAGCCAUGGCGCGGUGAAUACGUUCCCGGGCCUUGUACACACCGCCCGUCAAGCCAUGGGAGUUGGGGGUGCCUGAAGUACGUGACCGCAAGGAGCGUCCUAGGGCAAAACCGAUGACUGGGGCU